GUGGUGGUGGUGGUGGUGGUGGAACCGGCGUUUUGAGUGCCGUUGGCUCAUUGUAUGCCUCCUUUUUAGCUGUUGAAUGUUCCAAUUUGUUUGCAAUGAGUUUCUGAAUGUCCUUAAAUUUAGGGCUCUUGUACUCUCCAUUUGACUCCUGGUCACGAGUGUUAAAAGCUGCAAUCUUGGCCUCAGCAGCCGAAAGAUCCAGCGCCAGCUUCUUUUUCUGCCACUCUAGCUCUUUAUUCAAGCUAUGCGCCUUAUCCAGCUCCACCUUCAAAGCCGAAACUUCUGACUGCAAAUCCUUAACCAAACCCUCUUUCAAUUCAAGCCUCUCCUGCAAUUCCUUUUUGGUCUCUUGUUCAUUUCUCGUAGCAGUAGAAUCCACAGGCCGCUGCCGCCUUGGCCUAGCAAAUUGCUCCACAACUGGGCGAUUCACAGAUCGAGCCACCACUCUAACAUCCUCGUUGUCCCUAGCCUUUUGAGAUCCUAUCACAUCCUCUCCAGAUUUGGGUUUGUUCAGCAGCAGAGACCUCUUCAUCUUGGAGUGUUUCUUUACAUCUGGGGGUACAGAUUUUGCUCUUGCUUGAUUGGCUGGUGACAGUGACCCAUUAGCGAGCUCUGGUUUUGGCGAGUCCUUGGCUUUAGAAUUGACUCUGAAGCGAGAUGGGGUAGUGGUGGGGUGUGACAUGACGGUGCGUUUGAAGUCUAAUUUUGUAGCUGUUGCCUGUUGGUGGCGUCUCUCAGAGGAGCAUGGCUUCAAUGAGGAUAACAAAGCCGCGCCAUUAAUCUGGGCAAGAAUGAAGAGAAAGAUUGGAAAUUUGCAUUUCUAGUGGAUUCUGGGCAAGAAUGAAGAGAAAGAUUGGAAAUUUGCAUUUCUAGUGGAU
rnacentral:misc_RNA from 1 species